AGACCACGGACACAUAGCCGUUUGCAGCCGGGAGGUUAGGGACUCCUGCUUACGGUGUAUAUCUAGAAGCAGGCUAAUCGACACUUCUCCUUCGUGCCAUCAUGUGAAGAAGGAUGUGUUUGCUUCCCCUUCAACCAUGAUUGUAAGUUUCCUGAGGCCUCCGCAGCCAUGCAGAACUGUGAGUCAAUUAAACCUCUUUCCUUUCUAAAUGACACAGUCUUGGGCAGCCCUUUAGAGCAGUGUAAGAACAGACUAAUAUAUACUCUAACAUUAGAAUAUUUUUUAGGUUUAUUGUCAAAAAUACUCUUAUACAUAGCAAGAUGUAUUUAUUUUCUAUUCUAUAAUAUUCACAUAAAAAGAACACGCUUAGUCCAAAACAUAAGUUCUCAAUGUUUUUGAUUCAUUUACAUAUAAGUUAAAGCCAAAUGUAACAUAACAUGCAUGUAAAAGGGUAAUUGGUGGCCUACUUUUCAAUGACUUGCUAGCCAUUCAUAUGAACACACAUAAAUAAGAUACGAAAUAUAUUUCACCACAACAAGCUCUGUUUUAAUAAUAGCUUUAUAUUUCGGUUGUCCAGUGGAUGAAACAUAUAUUUCUAUCCUCAGAUUUUGUAAAAACAAUCUAUUUAGUAAAAUACACAUGAGAAACAGAAGACAAAAACCUAUCUGAAUAUCACCUCAAGAUAUUUAAUAUGUAUUUGACCUCUAACAAUGAAUGGUUUUCAUGAAUUUAAGCUAUUUAUUGAAACAGGUAUUAUUUUAAAAUGCCUCAAAGAAAAAUAUGUAUGAAACCUAACAAAUGAUAAUAAUUUUAUGUAGAAGAAACAGAUGAUUGAGUUUGUGCAAUCUUAUUUUGUUAAUUUUGUUUUACAUAUGUUUCUAUAUCCUCAGAUAUAAAGUAUAGUGGUUGUAUGAUAUGUUCUGGAAAGGGGAAUGUUCAAAUCCAGUCUCUGUUACUCUGUUAUUUGGGCAUAUAUCAUCUGCCUUAUAACACCAAUUUUCUUAUAUAUAAAAUUUGUGUAUAAUAAUAUAUAACUUAUUUCUGAUACAUAGCAGUUUAUUAAUAUGAACUCUUAUAUUGUGAAUAUUGUAAAUUUUAUUUCUAUCAUCUCCUUGAGCAUAUGUGAUGCUUCAUUACUUUCUAUAUCCUUAAAUUUUAGCAGUGAUUUUUUUGCUAGUUGUUCAAUAAAUGUAAACUGACAUUGCUUUGCUAAAUAUGCCAAAUAAUGUCCUUGGUAUAUGUUUUUAAAAAUGUACUACAACAUCAUAAGUGCUUGCUUCCUAUGUGACAAAGAAAAUCUCUCAUAAGUACCUAGGGGCUUUUAAAAUGAAUUACAUGUGAGAUAUUUAAAAAAAAUAUCUCUACAGAGAUGGAGAGUAGAAUGAUGGUUAUCAGAGGCUGGGUAGGGUAGCAGGGAGGAAAAGAUAAAGACAGGCUGGUUAAUAGGUACAAAAAAGCAGCUAGAUGGGAGGAAUAUGGUCUAAUGUAUGGUAGCACUAUAGUUAAAAAUGUAUAUUUCAAAAUAACUAAAAGUUAUUUUGAAGAAUUACAUUGAAUUGAAAUGUUCCUAACACUGAUAAAUAAUAAACGUUUGAGGUGAUGGAUACCCCAAUUACCAUGAUUGGAUCAUUACACAUUGUUAAUUUGUAUAAAAAUAUCACAUGUACUUCAUACAUACAACUAUUAUGUAUUUACAAUGAUUAAAUUAAAAAAAUUUAAAAUAGAUGAGAAAUUGGGUGCAGUGAAACACAUGUGUAAUCCCAGCUACUCAGGAGGCUGAAGCAAAAAGAUCACUUGCUACCAGGAGUUUGAGGCAGACUUGGCAAUAGCAAGACCCCCAUCUCUAAAAAUAUACAUAAAUAAAAUAAAAUAAUAAAUUUAAAAACAGAGUUGUGAAGAAAGAGUUAAAAUUGCAUCAAUAAGUGCAAAAUCCCUAACACUUUUACCCUAAUUAGAAACUAGGUUGUUUGCCACAGUUUCAUGAUUGUUGGCAGAAAACAUGUGACUCCUGGGUCACAGAAAAAGCAUAAAUUAUUACUUAUAACAAUACCAGUGCCCAGUUUUUCAUAUUUGUGCCCAAUUCCUGAGCCCCAAUUCCCAUAGAAUGAUUCAAGGAAGAUUAGUGACACAUAUACAUAUGUCAGGUUGUUUCACAGUAAAAACCCUAGUUUAUGUAAGUGGAAUCAUUUAUAAUAAAGAGCAAGCACAGCUAAUGUUUGCUUUUGAGGAAAAGUAUCUUACUAUACUGUGAAUAAGCCUGCCCUUUGUUCCAGAGUGUGCAAUUAUCUAUCUUCACUCAUUGCUUACUAUAUAAAUAUCUUUAAAAUACAGUUUAGGAUAGUGGCAGUCACUGUCUCUUUUCAUAAUUUGUUGCUGUUAUUCAAAAAUACCUCUUGCAAAUGGUAGUACCUUGAUGGAAGAAGGCAUAUACCCAAGUGGAUUAUAUUGGGUAUUUACCAGCAGUCUCAAGGGUGGUAACCACUAUUAACCCUCUUUUACUCCAGGUUUUCCUUAUUUCAAACCCAAGUCUACCUUAGACAAUAUGAUUAAAGAUUUUGAACAAUGGGUUCAUAACUGAUAUUUAUUCUGGGCAAGAAAAACGAUGCACUACUACCAAUAUACAGAAAUGGGAAAGUAUCUUAGUCCAUUCAUGCUGCUGUAUCAAAAUAAUACAAGCUUGGUGGCUGAUAAACACCAGACAUUUAUUUCUUACAGUUCUAGAGACUGAGAUGUCCACAGUCAAGGGACCAGUAGACUGGGCAUCUGGUAAGAACUCACUCUGGUUCACAGAUAGCACUUCCUUACUGCAUCCUCACAGGGAGAAAAUGACCAACAAGCUCCAACAAGCUCCCUCCAGCCUCUUUUAUACAGAUGCUAAUUUCCCUUAUAACGGCUCUGCCUUCAUUACCUAGUCACCUCCCCAAAGCCCCAUCUUUUAAUACCUUCGCAUUGGGAAUUAGAUUUCAAUGUAUGAAUAUUGGGAGGAAUGCAGUCUUUCAGACCAUAACUAUAUAUAUAUAGAUAUACAUAUAUAUGUGUGUGUGUGUGUGUGUAUAUAUAUAUAGAUAGGAAAAAUGAAUUGUAAGUUUUAAGUUAAUCGAUUAAAUAAAUGUAUUCUAAAAUUGAACAUGAAAGGAAGUUAGAGACUCCAUUGGACCAAAGGAUGGGAAUGAGAGUUUGCAAAGGACACAUUAGGCAAUUGUAUUUUUUCCCACCUUACAGAAGUUUUAUUUUACCUAUAUUAGUUUGGUUUUAAAUUUGCCUAACAGUUCUGGAUAUCUGUCGAGAACUGUUAAAGGUAGUAGAUGUGGCUAGAUGCAGUGGCUGGUUUCUGUAAUUCCAGCUGCUUGGGAGAUAGAGGCAGUGGGGGGGGCUUGAGGCCAGGAAUUGAAGACCAGCAGGGGAAACAUUAGCAAGACCAUAUCUGUGGUCUAAAAUAAUAAAAUAAAACAAAACAAAAUAAAAUAAUACAAAUAAAAUAUAAAAUAAAGUGAAAUAAAAAUCUAGCCAGGCAUGGUAGUGCCUGCUUGUAGUCCCAGCUAUUCGAGAGGCUGAGGUGAGAGGAUUGCUUGAGCCCAAGGAGUCUGAGGUUGCAGUGAGCCGUGAUCAUGCCACUGCACUCCAGCCUGGGGUAACAAAGUGAGACAUCGUCUACAAAAAAAAAAAAAAAGAAAGAAAGAAAGAAAGAAAGAAAGAAAGAAAAGAAAGUAAAAGUGGUCCUAGUUGUCUAUUGCAUUUUUACUCUACUAUGUUGCUUUAUCCUGCAGCUAACAAAUUAGCCUGCUACAGUUAUAUGGAUGCAGGCAUAAGAGAUGAGAUUCCUGAGUCUAGGGUAUAGUACAGUUUAUUUCUCAUGUUAUAAGCAGUAGCCAGAAUAUCAGCAUUGUCUUGGGCCAGUUGUUCAAACUGUAAUUUGUAUAAGGCGACAUACAGAGGGAAAGAUGACAAAUGCACACACAGUGGGUUGAGUUAAAGAAAAAUCCUGAGCUUAGGAAACUCCAAACUUUUUACAUGAGUGAAAAAUAAACCUAACUUUUUCCCCACAAGAAAUAUUUUCUUUAUUAUACUGUAGAAGAAAAAAAACCUACCUCUUGCUCCAUGGGAGGACAUUAUCUCCAAUUUUAACGUCCAUCUACUAACCAUAUAAUGUCCAUCUACUAACCUUAAGAAUUUGGUUACAUGGUUACUGAUGCUUGCACUCACAAGAGGUCUCAAGUAGUACAUGAUUUCAUAAUGUUAACCAAAUUAAGACUGUGAAUGUGGCUUCCUUACCAAGUGGCAGAGACAGUCCUGUGAUCUUUCACUUGUCAAAAUGUGGACAAAUACUAAUUAUGUAGGCUUGGAAAGGCUGAUUAUGUGGAAAAAACUGGGGGUUAUUAAAACUAGUGACAAAUGCAAAUAAGAGAGACCAUAGCAGAGACAGCAAAGCAGGUUAUAAGUGAAUUUGAGUUUCAAAAUGGGGUCUAAUUAUUUUCACAGGAAUGAUUUGGAACAAGAGAGUGAAACUCUAAGGUAAACUAUCUCAGAUCUAUUGCUGAUAAUGACUAAUAUUGAAAGACAUGUUGACUUGUCUGUGAAGGAAGCAGAUUAUCCACUGAUCUACAUGUUCUCUGUAUCUGAAGACUCCAUAUGGAUUCUCUGGUGACAACAACCUAAAGAAUAAUUACAUGUCUUAAUUUAGGUAACAAGUGACAACUACCAUUUGAUUGGCAGUGUAUAGGCUGUGUUUUCCAUUCUGCUUAAAUUUUCACAUGCCCUGAGAAAAUUAUUAUCAACCAAUAGAUUACAGCAUAAGAAGGUUUAAUCACAAACUUCUACACUCUGUGUGGACAUAAACUAAGACAGUACAUUGCUAAGACAGUGUCCUGUGUGCAGUAUAAAACAAGUUAUGAGUAUCAAGUUUAGUUAUAUCACAGCCGUAUACACACUUCUUUUGUGAAAUGUGAAUGUCAAUGGGAUUCAUUUAAGGAAAUAUACAUUUAACUCAGACAUCCUUGAGUGGAUUUAGGUGAAACUUGGUGGCCUGAAUAUUGCAUAUAAGGGACUUCUAGAAAGACACAAAGGACAUUAAUGUAAACUACCUGGCAUAAUAAGACAAAGGGGUAUUUGGGAGUGGAAUAUCUGAAACUGUCAGUCUCAUGGGACACAUACUGUUUCUGAAUACAGUCCGUUUUCCUAAUGGCAUGAUUUUUGUUAACAUUCAAUGGAAAUUACAAAUAUGGUGACUUGUUUUGCACUGGUCCCAAAUUGCCUUUUGUUUUUCUUUUUUUCUUUUUUUUUCUGGAGGAUGUUAGAAACUGGUCUGAAAGUUCUGAGUCAGACCAAAACAAUGUGCUUGGAGGCUUACUCUCAUGAUAAAAAAGACUUGCUAACCCAAAAAGGUACAUAAAAUAAGCAAAAAUGAAAAAAAAUUAAAACAUUCCCCAACAGAAUACAGACUAUUUCUGGAAAUAGAGAGAGAAAAAAAAAGUAUAAUUGGGCUGGGUGUGGUGGCUCACGCCUGUAAUCUCAGAACUCUUGGAGGCCGAGGUGGGUGGAUCACCUGAGGUCAGGAGUAUGAGACCAUCCUGGCCAACAUGGGGAAACCCCAUCUUUACUAAAAAUACAAAUAUUAGCUGGGUGUGGUGGUGCAUGCCUGUAGUCUCAGCUACUGAGGAGGCUGAGGCAGGAGAAUCAUCUGAUCCCAGGAGGCAUAGCCUGUAGUGAGCAAGAUUGUGCCCCUGCACUCCAGCCUGGGUGACAGAGUAAUACUCUGUCUCAAAGAAAAAAAAAAAAAAAAAAGGAUAAUUAAGCAUAAUUGCAUGACUAACUGAAUACUGAGUUAAACAUAGUGGCACACUGUUGAGCAAUGCAGAGAGUAGACGUAUGGUAUAUAUUCAUUCAACAACAACUAUUGAACAUUCAAAUCAGAUUAGAAUUGCCUAUCAUUAAAAAUCAGAGGUUGCAUAUAGUAGAGAAUGAGGCCAUACAAAUAAGUUUGUGGAAAAAUUAGGAUAAAUAAUUAGGAUUUUAUUAGAAAUUCUACCUUUUAUUUUUGUUCUUUAGUGAUCUAGUUUCUAGAGAUAACAGAGAAUUUAAAGUUCUUGUUGUGCAAUCAGUUGAGUUUGGAAACACAAAUAAGCCAAACCUGGUGAUCCCUAAUGGGGUGGGGGUGAUAGGAAGUGUCACCUAAUGACACCUAGAAGCUUCUGAAUGUAAAAACCUGUUGUAUGUAUCUGAAGUAUUGCUAUGUUCACAAACCAGGCAGAAUAUGUAAAUAGCUGAACAAUGGCUUCUAGUUAGCCAUUGUCAUUUGGAAUAUGUAGUACAUGGGGAAAGUUUAUUUCUGUCGGAAGAGAAUGAAAACUGGUACUACAAUUGUAAUUGAUUUAUGGUGUGCCAAACAUAAAUUUAAUCUCUCAGACAUAGCUAAGUAAUGUAGCAAAGGGUUGCAACCUCACAGACAGAAUUAAGUGAAAAUGAAUAUUACAUAAUAUUUAUUCCCAAGAUAAGAAAAUAUUUUAGAAGCUUUGAUGGAGGCAGGCUUGAGGUAAUACCUAUAGAAAACAAUGGACAGAAGAUAAAAUGUCUCUAACUUUGCAUACAUUACAAACUCUAAUAUAUAUUCAUAGACAUAUAUAUAUAUACAUCCACACAUAUAGCCUAUUAAAAUAAUUGAUGAAGAAAAAGAGCAACUGAGAUGGUUAGACAGUCAAAGAGUUCUCAAAAAUAUCUGAAAGUACAGAAUGUUGAUUAACAUACAAAUGACUUCAUAUUCUCCAUUGAAUAGCCCAAAUCCUGGUGACCUUUGAGAUUUUGUUUUGUUCUUUCUUUGGAAUAUUGCAGAAAAUAUUGUAAGAAAAAUAAAGAACAGAUAUCUGAGAAAUAUGCUCUAAGAAUAUAGUGAUCAAAUUCAAAAAGUAGACUGGAAAGAAAAGUGUUAGUUUUUCAGUGAUCCAUUUCUUCCCUAAAUAGUAGGAGCACAUUUUAAAAGAAACAAGGCAGGAGACCAGGUCUAAUUUUUUUUUUGUGUGUGUGUGUGCAAAGAUGCUAACAGUUGGCCUCCUUAUAAGUAUUAUUUGAUAUUGUUAGGAGGUAAAUCUAUAUUUAUGUCUUUUAUAAAGUAUAUAUAUUAUAUCUUGGAAAGAUGCUCCUGAGUUUAGCUUUGUUUAUGGUAAAUAAACCUACUAUCUACAGAUUUAUUAGCCACCGCUUCCUGAAAAUAUCAUGUAAGCCCUUACAUGGACUGGAUAUAAAAUGAGGAUGUUUAAAUUACCUAAACUCUCCCCACUGUAUGAUGUGGUAAGUCAAUCUUACUUAGAGGUCUCAUUUUAUCCUCUGGUCAGAGAUCACGUCAGAUUUAUAGAGCUUGAUCCUGGGGGUUCACAAACGAUGUCACAGAACUCUCCUGCUUUCUCGUGCUUCCAGAUUUCUUGUGUCCUUGAAAUUAUGUAAAAUUUAACACAAAAUUUGUAAGAUUUUUCCAAGGUAUUUAAGAAAAUUAUGUAAUAUCUCAUUACAACCUUCAAAUGAAAUGAGACACAAACAAUCUCAGGCAAAGAAAGUGUGGUCAUUUACAAGGAAAGAGCAGGAAUCACCUACAGAAAUGUGGCAUGUAUGUAGUAAUAGGUAUGACUGGUUCUUAAAAUAUGCCUCCUUCAUUUAUCAGUAAAGUUAUAACAAAUUUGUCAGAUUUAUUGUGCAUUAUAUUAAGGUUGGUAUGGUGAUCUUCUAUAAAAUCAAUAAAGUUCAUUUUUCAGUGCAUUAUGAAUGGAGUUACUCAGCAUUUCUGUCAGGCUCCGCCCCAUUAAUCUCACACCAGUUUUCCAACAUCACCAUAACUGCCCAGUAAUGACUGCAGCUUGUGGCUCCAAGUCCUGUGGUAAUCCUCACUGGGACAUAAAUACAUCAGUAUUAAAUGGUUUGUCUUGAAACAACCCUUGCUGUGAAAAAAUAUAGUGUUUGAUGAUCUGUAUGGACCCACAUUUCUUCCUGGUCACAUGUCUUCCUGGUCAAAACUCUGAUGGGUUGGUCUCAUCAAUGGUCAACUGUGGUUCUCUAAUGAGUGCUUAAUUCACAUCUACAACUGAGUUCUAUUCUGAUCCUUUGGGUAUCUCUCUUGGAAACUUUUUACAAGAAAAAAAUGGCUCAAUUUUGCUAGAAUUUGCCACUUUCAUGUCAGUUUCAUUGUGUUACUGGAUACCUAUUAAAGGGAUAAAUAAAUUAGCUGAAGUUGAUUGUCCCUAAUUAAUUAAACAUUCCUAAAAUCUGUUUUUAUAUCUACUUGUUACCAUUUCCAUAGAAGAAUCUAUGAAGUCUUUUCCAAGUCAUAUGAGAAUGUGCUGUUCCUCACUCAGCCCUGUCUCCAGUAGAUACCAAUCUAAAAUAUGCCCUUGGCUGAAAUUGGAUAUGAUUUUACUCUCCCGUUUCACAUCUCCUUACUAGCACUGUGCUUGUUCAAGGGUGUCUCCUGCUGUAUUUGGACCCAUAGUUUCUAGAUAAAAGCCCAUUAGUUUCAUUAUAUCCUUACCUUGGGCACCAGAGAGUAUCUGAGAAUAAGAGUCUGAAAUGGCUUGGGGUAUUUCCUGCCAAGUCUGCAGAGCUAUACCUUCCCUCUGGUAUCUGGAACUAGUUCUUAAGCUUAAAGAUGCAAGCAUUUUUGCAGUUCCAAGGCCAGUCUCAACUUCUGUUGUGACUGAGUAACAGGCCAAUCUUGCAGGGGAAUAAUAAUACAUGGUUACAUUGUUGCAGUGGCAAGACAUCUAUGCUGCUGUUGUAACUCUCAAAACUUGGACAAAAUGUACUGGGAUUUAGUGAUAAAAAAGUAUUCUGUAAAAAUAGGACAGGUGUAUGCAGUGAAUCUCCAGAAUAUCUAGUCACUAACUUUGGAUGCCAGGCUACUAGGGACUCAUGAAAUAUAUACUGAUAUUAACCACAGAAGUUCCAAGUAUUUAUUGACCAGGAAGGAGAAGUAUGUUGUAAUAUAUUUACAUAAAUUAGCUGUCUGGAGGAUCAUAUAUCACACGGUUUAGAAGAACAACUUGUUAUUCUAACACCUUACUUCCUUAUGUAAUAUAAGUUUUUUAAUGCAAAACAAAAGGCUAAGAUAGGGACGAUAAAUCUUAGCAAUUUACUUUUGAGAGAACUUCUAAGAACUGUUUUUCUGUUGUUUUGUGUAGAGUGAAUUAUAAUCACUAAAUGUUACAUGAGUUUCAGCAAAUGAUACCAAGGAUGGAGCAUUCAGAUUUCAAACUAUUACUGGAAAACAGCGACAUAUGAUUUUGCUACCAUUUUCUGAAAAUGUCUCUUCAAAAACAUAGUAGUAGACCAUAUACUUGUAUGUGAGAAAUAUCAUAUCAAACUAAAUUUUACUGAUUGCUAAUUAAAAUUUUAAUGAAAGUUACAUGAAAGUAUGAGAUAACUAAGUUUAGAAAUGCCUAGGGAUUAAUUUCAAAUGAAACAUUAAUUUCAUUCAUAUGAAACCCAUAAAUAAACUCUUGAGUUUACAUAAAAAUAAUCUAAAUCUCUAAAACUCAAAAAUCUUUAGCAUAAACAUGGACUAAAAAUUUAGUGUAUUUCACAUGAGAAACAUAAAUAAGCUUUCUAGCUUGUUUAGCCGUGAUUGAAUUUGAGUGAAGCUACAUUAGAAAUAUGCCAAAGAAUAUUAAGAUGAGAAAAUGUAAAGCCUUUUUGUGCAUGUUAUUUUAUAUAUAUAUAUAUAAAUUUCAAGAAAAUAAUUUUAAAUAAUUCAAAAUAAUAUUCAGCAUCUGUUUAGAGUGGGAGAAAAUCAUAUAGUAUACUCAGAUUGUUAAAGGUCAGAUUUAGAGUUAUGUUAUAGUCUGAUUAGUUACUGCAUGAAAGCAGCUUGAUAAAUAUUUAGUAGGAUAUUAGUUUUGAAAGAUGAUUAACUUAGAGAAAAGUAAUUGAGCACACCACUACAAGUUAAUAUUUUUAUUUAUUUAUUUAUUUUUUGAGAUGGAGUCUCGCUCUGUUGCCCACGCUGGAGUGCAGUGGCACAAUCUUGGCUCACUGCA
rnacentral:lncRNA from 10 species